CCAAAGUGCUGGGAUUAUAGGUGUGAGCCACCAUGCCCGGCCGGUUAUCCAGUUUUUAAAUCUCAUUGCUUUAAACUUUCUCAUAUAUGAAUUUUUUUUUUCGGUUAUUGAGACAGAGUCUCGCUUUGUCAUCCAUGGAGGCUGGACUGCAGUGGCAGUGGCAUGAACAUGGCUCACUGCCAUCUUGACCUCCCAGGCUCAAGGGAUCCUCUUGCCUCAGCCCCCCAAGUAGCUGGGACCAUGAGUGCGUGUCACCAUGUCUGGUUAAUUUUUGUAUUUUUGUAGAGAUGGUGUUUCACCAUGUUGCCCAGGCUGGUCUUGAACUCCUGAGCUCAAGUGAUCCUCCCAUCUUGGCCUCCCAAAGUACUGGGAUUACAGGUGUGAGCUACCGUGCCUGGCCGACUAAUUUUUGAAAACCAUAUUAUGGGCCAGGUGCAGUGGCUCACGCAGGUAAUCCCAGCACUUUGGGAGGCCAAGGCAGGCAGAUCACGAGGUCAGGAGAUCGAGACCAUCCUAAUACGGUGAAACCCCGUCUCUACUGAAAAUACAAAAAAAAUUAGCUGGGCGUGGUGGCGGGUGCCUGUAGUCCCAGCUACUCCAGAGGCUGAGGCAGGAGAAUGGCGUGAGCCUGGGAGGCGGAGCUUGCAG
rnacentral:lncRNA from 10 species